rnacentral:rRNA from 1 species
AUUGAACGCUGGCGGCAGGCUUAACACAUGCAAGUCGAGCGGGGUGAUGGUGCUUGCACUAUCACUUAGCGGCGGACGGGUGAGUAAUGCUUAGGAAUCUGCCUAUUAGUGGGGGACAACAUCUCGAAAGGGAUGCUAAUACCGCAUACGUCCUACGGGAGAAAGCAGGGGAUCACUUGUGACCUUGCGCUAAUAGAUGAGCCUGAGUCGGAUUAGCUAGUUGGUGGGGUAAAGGCCUACCAAGGCGACGAUCUGUAGCGGGUCUGAGAGGAUGAUCCGCCCGACUGGGGCGGAGACACGGCCCAGACUCCUACGGGAGGCAGCAGUGGGGAAUAUUGGACAAUGGGGGGAACCCUGAUCCAGCCAUGCCGCGUGUGUGAAGAAGGCCUUAUGGUUGUAAAGCACUUUAAGCGAGGAGGAGGCUCUUUUGGUUAAUACCCAAGAUGAGUGGACGUUACUCGCAGAAUAAGCACCGGCUAACUCUGUGCCAGCCGCCGCCGUAA